GAUGAACGCUAGCGGCAGGCCUAACCCAUGCAAGUCGAGGGGCAGCACAGAAACAGCAAUGUUUUGGUGGCCACCGGCGGACGGGUGCGUAACGCGUAUGCAACCUACCUUUAACAGGGGGAUAACGGAGAGAAAUAUCCACUAAUACCCCAUAACAUCGAUCAAGGCAUCUUGAUUGGUUGAAAACUCCGGUGGUUAAAGAUGGGCAUGCGUUGUAUUAGGUAGUUGGUGAGGUAAUGGCUCACCAAGCCUACGAUACAUAGGGGGACUGAGAGGUUAGCCCCCCACACUGGUACUGAGACACGGACCAGACUCCUACGGGAGGCAGCAGUGAGGAAUAUUGGUCAAUGGGGGCAACCCUGAACCAGCCAUGCCGCGUGCAGGAAGACGGCUCUAUGAGUUGUAAACUGCUUUUAAACAGGGAUAAAGCACAGUAUGUAUACUGUGUUGAAGGUACUGUAAGAAUAAGGAUCGGCUAACUCCGUGCCAGCCGCCGCAGUAA
rnacentral:rRNA from 1 species